rnacentral:rRNA from 1 species
AUUGAACGCUGGCGGCAGGCUUAACACAUGCAAGUCGAGCGGUAGCACAAGAGAGCUUGCUCUCUGGGUGACGAGCGGCGGACGGGUGAGUAAUGUCUGGGAAACUGCCUGAUGGAGGGGGAUAACUACUGGAAACGGUAGCUAAUACCGCAUAAUGUCGCAAGACCAAAGAGGGGGACCUUCGGGCCUCUUGCCAUCAGAUGUGCCCAGAUGGGAUUAGCUAGUAGGUGGGGUAAUGGCUCACCUAGGCGACGAUCCCUAGCUGGUCUGAGAGGAUGACCAGCCACACUGGAACUGAGACACGGUCCAGACUCCUACGGGAGCAGCAGUGGGGAAUAUUGCACAAUGGGCGCAAGCCUGAUGCAGCCAUGCCGCGUGUGUGAAGAAGGCCUUCGGGUUGUAAAAGCAACUUUCAGCGAGGAGGAAGGUGGUGAGCUUAAUACGUUCAUCAAUUUGACGUUUACUCGC